AGUAACACGUGAGCAACCUGCCCCGAAGACCGGGAUAGCCCGAGGAAACUCGGAUUAAUACCGGAUGCCUUCACACUUCCGCAUGGCGGAGUGAAGAAAUGCCUUUGUGCUUCGGGAUGGGCUCGCGGCCUAUCAGCUAGUUGGUGAGGUAAAGGCUCACCAAGGCGUCGACGGGUAGCUGGUCUGAGAGGACGAUCAGCCACACUGGAACUGAGACACGGUCCAG
rnacentral:rRNA from 1 species